UCCACAUCGACAAACUUGGAUUAUUGAGUAGUGGAAGCUGCACUAUAAAUAAGAGCCUUCAUCCUUUUAAUUAAUUUUUAUCCAAUUUAUGGCCCAUUUCGAAGACUGAAUGCGUUGGACCUGUAUAAUACAUUCUUGUUGGGCCUGUAUUUGAGUCCAAUUUUGAACAUAAAUAAUCCAGUUUUUUAAGAAAUCAGUUUAGGCGGUUUAAAAUUGAUUAGGUGAUUUUUUUUAAACACAGGUACACGUGGAGAAAGUUGAUGCUGAUGUGUCAUUCAACUGGAGAAAGUUGGCCAAAGUUGAUGCUGAUGUGUCAUUCAACUGGAGAAAGUUGGCCAGCUUUUAGCUUUUAUAUAUAAGAUGUUAAUAUCGGAUCACCAAAAUCUAAAUCAUAUGUAUUUGAAUUAUCAUAAAUAUUUACCAUACGUCGAUGUUAA
rnacentral:lncRNA from 1 species